rnacentral:rRNA from 1 species
GUAGGUGGCGAGCGUUGUCCGGAUUUACUGGGCGUAAAGAGCGCGCAGGCGGUCGUGCAAGUCGCGUGUGAAAGCCCCCGGCUCAACUGGGGAGGGUCACGCGAUACUGCUCGACUCGAAGGCAGGAGAGGGAAGCGGAAUUCCCGGUGUAGUGGUGAAAUGCGUAGAUAUCGGGAGGAACACCAGUGGCGAAGGCGGCUUCCUGGCCUGUUCUUGACGCUGAGGCGCGAAAGCUAGGGGAGCAAACGGGAUUAGAUACCCCGGUAGUCCUAGCCGUAAACGAUGGACACUAGGUGUUGGUGGUAUCAACCCCGCCAGUGCCGAAGCUAACGCAUUAAGUGUCCCGCCUGGGGAGUACGGCCGCAAGGCUA